CUCCAGCUGACGAGUCCCAAAUAGGACAAAACACGCUUCCUAGAU
rfam:Schistosoma mansoni, Puerto Rico, WGS project CABG01000000 data, contig: 0153